GUGGAUGUGGCGAAGUGGUUAACGCAUCGGGUUGUGGUCCCGACAUUCGCGGGUUCGAGCCCCGUCAUCCGCCCCA
rnacentral:tRNA from 4 species